AAUCAACGCUGGCGGCGUGCCUAACACAUGCAAGUCGAACGCCCUAGCAAUAGGGAGUGGCAGACGGGUGAGUAACACGUGGGAACGUGCCUUUCGGUUCGGAAUAACCCAGGGAAACUUGGACUAAUACCGGAUACGUGCGAGAGCAGAAAGAUUUAUCGCCGAAAGAUCGGCCCGCGUCCGAUUAGUUAGUUGGUGAGGUAAUGGCUCACCAAGGCGACGAUCGGUAGCUGGUCUGAGAGGAUGAUCAGCCACACUGGGACUGAGACACGGCCCAGACUCCUACGGGAGGCAGCAGUGGGGAAUAUUGGACAAUGGGCGCAAGCCUGAUCCAGCCAUGCCGCGUGAGUGAUGAAGGCCCUAGGGUUGUAAAGCUCUUUCGCCAGGGACGAUAAUGACGGUACCUGGAUAAGAAAGCCCCGGCUAACUUCGUGCCAGCCGCCGCGGUAAC
rnacentral:rRNA from 1 species